AACGAACGCUGGCGGCAUGCCUAACACAUGCAAGUCGAACGAAGGCUUCGGCCUUAGUGGCGCCCGGGUGUGUCACGCGUGGGAAUCUUCCCUUUGGUUCGGAAUAACAGCUGGAAACGGCUGAUUAUACCGGAUGAUGACGAAAGUCCAAAGAUUUAUCGCCAGAGGAUGAGCGAGCGUUGGAUUAGGUCGUUGGUGGGCUAAUGGCAUACCAAGCCGACGAUCCGUAGCUGGUCAGAGAGGAUGAUCAGCCACACUGGGAGUGAGACGCGGCCCAGACUCCUACGGGAGGCAGCAGUGGGGAAUAGAGGACAGUGGGCUCAAGCCUGAACCAGCAAUGCCGGGUGAGUGAUGAAGGUCCUGGGGAUGUAAAGCUCUUUUACCCGGGAAGAUAAUGACGGUACCGGGAGAAUAAGCCCCGGCUAACUCCGUG
rnacentral:rRNA from 1 species